UGGGAUAGUGCAGUCGAUAGAGCAUGAGACUCUUAAUCUCAGGGUUGUGGGUUCGAGCCCCACAUUGGGCAAAA
rnacentral:tRNA from 1 species